ACUAUUUUAGCAUAUUAGUGCUUCAAUUUUAGAAUUUGGCUAAGUAGUUUUAACUACAAAUAGUA
rnacentral:tRNA from 1 species